rnacentral:misc_RNA from 1 species
UCAUAGCAGGCAUGCUUCUG